UGCGCAGGCGGUUUUGUAAGUCUGUCGUGAAAUCCCCGGGCUCAACCUGGGAAUUGCGAUGGAGACUGCAAGGCUAGAAUCUGGCAGAGGGGGGUAGAAUUCCACGUGUAGCAGUGAAAUGCGUAGAGAUGUGGAGGAACACCGAUGGCGAAGGCAGCCCCCUGGGUCAAGAUUGACGCUCAUGCACGAAAGCGUGGGGAGCAAACAGGAUUAGAUACCCUGGUAGUCCACGCCCUAAACGAUGUCUACUAGUUGUCGGGUUUUAAUUAACUUGGUAACGCAGCUAACGCGUGAAGUAGACCGCCUGGGGAGUACGGUCGCAAGAUUAAA
rnacentral:rRNA from 1 species